UACGGGGGGGGCAAGCGUUGUUCGGAAUUACUGGGCGUAAAGGGCUCGUAGGUGGCCAACUAAGUCAGACGUGAAAUCCCUCGGCUUAACCGGGGAACUGCGUCUGAUACUGGAUGGCUUGAGUUCGGGAGAGGGAUGCGGAAUUCCAGGUGUAGCGGUGAAAUGCGUAGAUAUCUGGAGGAACACCGGUGGCGAAGACGGCAUCCUGGACCGACACUGACACUGAGGAGCGAAAGCCAGGGGAGCAAAGCGGG
rnacentral:rRNA from 1 species